rnacentral:rRNA from 1 species
GACGAACGCUGGCGGCGUGCUUAACACAUGCAAGUCGAACGGAAAGGCCCUGCUUUUGUGGGGUGCUCGAGUGGCGAACGUGUGUGUCACACGUGAGUAAUCUGCCCUUGACUUUGGUAUACCUUCGGGAAACUGUGUCUUAUACCGGAUAGGACCUCCUUCUUCAUGGUGGUGGUUGGAAAGUUUCGGGGGGUGGGGAUGGACUCGCGGCUUAUCUGCUGGUUGGUGGGGUAGUGGCUUACCAAGGCUUUGACGGGUAGCCGGCCUGAGAGGGUGACCGGCCACAUGGGGACUGAGAUACGGCCCAGACUCCUACGGGAGGCAGAAGUGGGGAAUAUGGCACAAUGGGGGGAAGCCUGAGGCAGGAAGGCCGCGUGCGGGAGGACGGCCUUCGGGUGGUAAACCGCUUUCGCCUGGGACGAAGCGUGAGUGACGGUAAUGGGUAAAGAAGCACCGGCUAACUACGUG